UCUCCGUUGGUGAACCAGCGGAGGGAUCAUUACCGAGUGCAAACUCAUAACCCUUUGUGAACCUAUAUCUGUUGCUUCGGCGGCUCGCUCUCGGGCGAGCCCGCCGGUAAUAUCAGUAUCUCUGUUUGAACCCGACGAUACUUCUGAGUGUUCUUAGCGAACAGUUAAAACUUUUAACAACGGAUCUCUUGGCUCUAGCAUCGAUGAAGAACGUAGC
rnacentral:misc_RNA from 1 species